CACGUAUUUUCCUUCACCCUUUGCAGUUUUUGUACUCUGAAUUAAUCCUGCAAGAAAGAUUUUACUAUUUGAACUUGAUUUUCAAUUCUGUUGCUUGUUUAUUCCUUUGUGUUUUGAUGAUUUCUUUAAUGGGUUCUCAUUAUUUUUGUAGUUAAGACAUUGAUGGAGGUUGUUUUUUUCAGGUCUUUACACAUUGCAGAGACUCUUGUCGUGCCCUGGAUAUGGUUUCAGCUUUUGGCUUCAAUUUUUCUGAUUGGAUGAGAAAUGAGAUGAAGUGGGAUUUUUGGGUAGGAGAUAAAAUGGAUCUCUCCAUAGAUAUUGCCAAUGUAGCUUUUUCGAUAUGGUUAUUGGCAUGGUUUUUGAUAGAAAUCUGGAAACGAAGGAGAGGUGGUAGUGGCGUACGCAGGGAAGAAUCAACCCUGUUUACCAAAAUCACUGUUCUUUGUAAUUUCUUAAUUUCCAUCUUGAAUCUUGGUUUUGGGUUUCUUGAGUAUUGGGAUUUAAGAGCCGUUUUCUCAUCCAUGACUUGGAUUUUAGCUACAUUGGUUGCAUUCUAUUCUGAACAAACAACUCUUAGAGAAGGCAACAGAUGGCCCGCAGUCCUCAUUCUUUGGUGGGUAGUUUCCUGCAUUUGCCGUUCACUUUCUGUCUCAAUUUACUUGAUUACCCAUUUCAGUUCCAUAGAAUUGCCCAAUCUCUUGCCUGAAACUAACAUUGUUGAUUUCAUUUCCUUACCAUUAUCAAUACUGCUUUGCUUCAAUGCUUUAACUUUCGCAUUCAGUUGUAAUACCAAGAUACAAAGUGGUCUUGAACACCCUUUACUUCAAGAAGAACACAAGAGCGAGUUAAAAGAUUCAGCUAGUUAUGCCAAGGCUGGAAUUUGCAGCCAACUCACCUUCCAAUGGCUAAAUCCACUAUUUAGAAAGGGGAGAAUCCAAAAACUAGAAUUGUCUCACAUUCCUUCAGUUCCUCAAUCUGAAACAGCAAAGCAUGCUUCCUCGUUGCUUGAAGAAUCACUUGGGAAAAGGAAAACUGAAACUUAUAACUUGCCCAAGGCCAUUGCUUAUGCCAUAUGGAAAUCCUUGACCAUAAAUGGUGUUUUUGCAGGAGUUAAUACAAUUGCCUCCUACAUGGGUCCCCUUCUGAUCACCAGCUUUGUGAAUUUCUUGUCUGAGAAACAUGAGGAUUCAAGCUACCUCUAUGGGUUAGUUCUUGCUUUUAUCUUCUUUAUCUCGAAGACAAUUGAAUCACUAACUCAACGACAGUGGUAUUUCGGUGCUCAACGUAUUGGCAUACGAGUAAGGGCAGCUCUUACGGUACUGCUCUACAAGAAAUGUCUAUCUGUCAAAUUUGUAGGUCCAAGCGCUGGUAAAAUCAUAAAUAUGAUCAAUAUGGAUGUGGAAAGGAUAGGGGAUUUCUGCUGGAACAUUCAUGGAGUAUGGUUGCUACCACUUCAGGUCUUCCUAGCCCUUGUUAUUUUGUAUAGGAAUCUGGGUGCUGCCCCCUCAUUUGCUGCUCUCUCUUCCACAAUUUUGAUUAUGGUGAGCAAUACACCAUUGGCCAAUAAGCAAGAAAAGCUGCACACCAGGAUCAUGGAAGCUAAGGACUCAAGAAUUAAAGCAACUUCAGAGACUCUCAAGAGCAUGAGAGUCUUGAAACUGUAUUCAUGGGAAUCUGCAUUUUUGAAGAAGCUUCGUAAACUCAGAGAUGCCGAGAGAGAAUGGCUGAAAAGAUAUCUCUAUACAAGCUCAUUCAUAGCCUUUCUCUUUUGGGCUUCACCAACUCUAGUCUCUGUCAUUACCUUUGGAGUCUGCAUUCUACUAAAAACACCAUUAACAACAGGUACAGUCCUCUCAGCAUUAGCCACAUUCCGAAUUCUGCAAGAACCCAUCUACAACCUGCCUGAGCUCAUUUCCAUGAUUGCUCAAACUAAGGUCUCAGUUGAUCGCAUCCAAGAGUUCUUAAAAGAAGAUAAUCAGAGAAAGCAAAUACCUUGUAACAUCUCACAAGCAUCUGACAUCUCAAUUGAAAUUGAAAUUGGAGAAUAUGCUUGGGAAACAAAUUAUCAGAACUCAAGGAAACCUACUAUUAAAAUUACGGAGAAAAUGAAAAUAAAGAAGGGUUACAAAGUUGCAGUGUGUGGAUCAGUUGGGUCUGGCAAAUCAAGCCUACUCUGCAGUAUACUUGGCGAGAUCCCCAGAAUUUCUGGAGCAGGAAUUAAGGUGUAUGGAGCAAAGGCUUAUGUUCCCCAAAGUGCUUGGAUUCAAACAGGAACAGUGAGAGAAAAUGUGUUGUUUGGCAAGGAUAUGGAUAAGGCUUUCUACGAGGAAGUUCUGGAAGUAUGUGCUUUGAACCAGGAUAUUGGGACAUGGGUGGACAGAGAUUUGAUUGUGGUGGGAGAGAGAGGGAUGAACUUGAGUGGAGGACAAAAGCAGAGAAUUCAACUUGCAAGGGCUGUUUAUAGUAAUUCAGAUGUUUAUAUCCUGGAUGACCCUUUUAGUGCUGUUGAUGCACAUACUGGAACACAUCUGUUCAAGAAAUGUUUCAUGCAAUUAUUGUCUCAGAAAACUGUGAUAUAUGCUACCCAUCAACUGGAAUUUUUAGAUGCUGCUGACCUUGUUCUGGUGAUGAAAGAUGGUGUGAUUGUCCAGUCAGGAAAAUAUGAAGAUUUAAUUGAAGAUCCAACUGGGGAACUUGUUACACAAAUGGCUGCUCAUAAAAAGUCUAUAAAGCAAGUAAACCCACCCCCAGAAUAUAAUGUCUUAACCAGUGGACCCUCUCAGUUAAAUGAAAAUGAAGUCAUAGAAGAGACAUUUGAAGAACCUAUCAGUAACAGGAGAAUUUCAGAGAGAAAUCAAGAAGAAUUAACAGAAACUGGUAGAGUGAAAUGGAGUGUUUACUCAACUUUUGUUACUUCAGCUUAUAAAGGUGCACUUGUUCCAGUCAUUCUUCUAUGUCAAGUCCUCUUCCAGGGACUCCAGAUAGGAAGCAAUUAUUGGAUUGCUUGGGCAUCAGAGGACAGACACAAGAUGACCAGAGAGCAGUUGAUUGAGAUAUUCAUUUUGUUGUCUGGUGGAAGCUUUAUCUUUAUAUUAGGGAGAACAGUUUUGCUGGCAAACAUUGCUGUUGAGACUGCUCAACGACUCUUCCAAGGAAUGAUCGAAUCAGUUUUUAGAGCACCUAUUUCAUUCUUCGAUUCAACGCCUUCAAGUAGAAUUCUCAACAGGUCCUCUACAGAUCAAAGCACCGUGGACACAGACAUUCCCUACAGAUUAGCUGGAUUGGCAUUUGCACUAAUUCAACUUUUAAGUAUAAUUAUCCUUAUGUCUCAUGUCGCUUGGCAGGUCUUCCUUCUCUUUCUUGUCAUUAUCGGAAUCUCCAUCGGCUAUCAGGCCUAUUACAUUUCCACUGCUAGAGAAUUAGCCAGGAUGGUUGGAAUCAGGAAGGCUCCUAUCUUGCAUCACUUUUCAGAAUCUAUUGCAGGGGCAGCAACUAUUCAUUGUUUCAAUCAGGAAGAUCGCUUUUUGAUGAGAAUCCUGAGCCUCAUGAUUAUUCUCGCAUAGUCUUCCACAACACAGGCACAAUGGAAUGGCUAUGCGUUCGAAUAAACUUUCUUUUCAACCUGCUUUUCUUCCUUGCUCUGAUCAUCUUGAUGAGCCUUCCUAGGUUAGCUAUUGAUCCCAGUAAGCUCCUUGUGCUCCUCAUAUUUAUCUAUCCAAUGGCUAAGAGGAAUAAAGUUCAACAACUGUCCACCAAAUGUGAAUAUUUCAGAUAUCAGAUAGAAAAUUUAGUGAAGGAGUCAUAUAGUUCUAUAAAUUUUCCUCACAGCCAAAAUUCCCAGGAAUUUGCUUCCGUUUAAACCCCUUAUGUCAAUGUUAAACUAAUGACUGCUAAACUGGAUGUCAGGCUUGGCAGGGCUGGCAGCCACCUAUGGUCUGAACCUGAAUAUUCUUCAGGCUUGGGUUAUAUGGAACCUAUGCAACGUUGAGAACAAAAUGAUAUCGGUGGAAAGAAUUCUUCAAUUCACUAACAUACCCAGUGAAGCUCCCUUGGUGAUUGAAAACGGUAGGCCAAAUUCUGAAUGGCCAGUGGAUGGAAGAAUUGAACUAUUCAGCCUUUGUGUCCAAUAUAGUCCUGCUCUCUCAAUGGUUCUCAAAUCCAUAACUUGCACUUUCCCAGGAGGUAAGAAAAUUGGUAUUGUGGGCAGAACUGGAAGUGGAAAGUCUACUUUGAUUCAGGCUCUAUUUAGGGUGAUUGAGCCCUCGGGAGGACAGAUUCUUAUUGAUGAACUUGAUAUUUCCAAGAUAGGUUUGCAAGAUUUGAGGUCUAGGCUAGGUAUAAUUCCUCAAGACCCCACAUUGUUUCAAGAAACUGUGAGGAAUAAUCUGGACCCUUUGGAAGAACACUCAGAUCAAGACAUCUGGGAGGUAAGAGUCACAAUUCCGGUCGUUUUAGCACAAGACUGGAAUUAUAUUUACUGAAAGAAUAUGUUUUUCAGGUUCUCAACAAGUGUCGCCUUGCUGAUGUGGUGAAGCAGGACCAAAGGCUUCUUGAAGCACCAGGUCCAUAUUUAUACUUGAUCAUUCUGAGUUUCUGAAGAUGGAGAAAACUGGAGUGUUGGGCAGAGGCAGCUUGUUUGUCUGGCUAGAGUGCUUCUAAAGAAGAGAAGAAUUUUAGUAUUGGAUGAGGCCACAGCUUCUAUUGAUACAGCAACAGACAACAUCAUUCAAGCAACAAUAAGAGAAGAAACUAGUAGAUGCACAGUCAUCACUGUCGCUCAUCGAAUACCUACGGUCAUUGACAAUGACUUGGUUAUGGUUCUUGACGAAGGCAAGGUGAUAGAGUAUGACUCCCCUGUGCAAUUGUGCAAGGACAAUUCUUCCUCAUUUUCAAAGUUGGUCGCAGAAUUCUCAAGGAGAUCCUCCACAAGAAAUCAACAUAGGGAUUAUCUUGACAAGAGGAGAGAUUAAGCCCCAGCCUCAGUAUUUCAUAAUUGUGAAAGUAGGUCAUAUGAUUUAUUGUAGUGCAAUCUGAUCAAAAUGGCAGUAGCAACUAGAUAUAGAAGGCAAAACUAAUCAACAGAAGUGUAAACAAGCAUACCCUACCUUGCACGGUACAAUUAGUAAGGCAAAUCACAGAAAAUGAAUUCAAGAGCAUUUAAACUUCAGCUUAUUAAUGUAAAAUUGCAAACUACGAGCCAUAAAUUUUUCCAGAAAGUAACAAAGGAAACAAGAUAUGAGCAGUGAAUAUAUAAUACACUGAAGAAACUGCAGAUCAGCUGGCAGUCAUGUGCAAUUGAAUAUGCAAUUCAUAUCUUUGGAGAUUGUAAUAGAGCUCAAAUCUGCUAACUUGUUCAUCUAUGCCAGAAGGCCUAGUAAAGAUCCAUAUAUUGGAUGUGUGAACUGGGAAGUAAGGUUUGAGCUGCUCACAAGGUGGAUGGUUAGUUUCACUUUCAAUGCAGUAGCUCCACUAUUGCUGCUGUUAAACUUUAGGGCCUAAUCCGUGGGAUUACACCGCCUCACACAAGUGUGAACUGAAACUUAUGUUCAACUCAUCCCUCUCAAUGUAUCAGAGUUCACCACAGAGAUCAAAUAAU
rnacentral:misc_RNA from 1 species